rnacentral:rRNA from 1 species
GACGAACGCUGGCGGCGUGCUUAACACAUGCAAGUCGAGCGGAGCGGCGAACGGGUGAGUAACGCGUGAGUAACUGCCCCCCUCUCUGGGAUAACAGUUGGAAACGGCUGCUAAUACCGGAUAGUGGGGGCUGACUCGCGUCCUAUCAGCUUGUUGGUGGGGUAGUGGCCUACCAAGGCGACGACGGGUAGCCGGCCGGAGAGGGCGACCGGGCACCAUGGGCUGAGAGACGGGCGCAAGGCAUACAGGAGGCAGCAGGGGGGAAUAUUGCACCAGGGGGGAGACCCGGAUGCAGCAACGCGCGUGCGGGAAGCCGGCGUUCGGUUUGUAAACCGCUGUCAGCCAUGACGCGGUAGUGGCAGAAGAAGCACCGGCUAACUCCGUGCCAGCAGCCGCGGUAAUAC